rnacentral:rRNA from 1 species
GACGUAGGGCGCAAGCGUUGUCCGGAUUUAUUGGGCGUAAAGAGCUCGUAGGCGGCUUGUUGCGUCGACCGUGAAAACCCGUGGCUCAACUGCGGGCUUGCGGUCGAUACUGGCGUGCUUGAGGACUGGAGAGGAGACUGGAAUUUACGGUGUAGCGGUGAAAUGCGUAGAUAUCGUAAGGAAGACCAGUGGCGAAGGCGGGUCUCUGGACAGUUCCUGACGCUGAGGCACGAAGGCCAGGGGAGCAAACGGG